rnacentral:rRNA from 1 species
UACGUAGGGGGCAAGCGUUGUCCGGAAUCAUUGGGCGUAAAGAGCGUGUAGGCGGCCCGAUAAGUCCGCUGUGAAAGUCCAGGGCUCAACCCUGGAAUGCCGGUGGAUACUGUCGGGCUCGAAUCCGGAAGAGGUGAGUGGAAUUCCUGGUGUAGCGGUGAAAUGCGCAGAUAUCAGGAGGAACACCGGUGGCGAAGGCGGUUCUCUGGGCCCUACCUGACGCUGAGACGCGAAAGCGUGGGGAGCGAACCGG